GUCGUAACAAGGUUUCCGUAGGUGAACCUGCGGAGGGAUCAUUG
rnacentral:rRNA from 1 species